rnacentral:misc_RNA from 1 species
AAAGUCGUAACAAGGUCUCCGUAGGUGAACCUGCGGAGGGAUCAUUAACACUAAGAGUGAGCUUGUCACUGGCAACAGCGACUCGUUCAUUUCUUUCCCACACACCGUUGAACUCGGAUGUCGAAAGACAACCAAUCCAAACCCUUCCAGUGGUGUGGUGCAGUGAGCGUUGACUCGUUUGCUGCGCUUGUCCGCUGAGGUGAUACUCGACAAAAGCAUUGGUGUCAUGCUUUUACUUUUGUUGAGCUAUUUUUUCUACCCCGACUGACUAUUGACUGAUACAACGACAGCAGCUGAAAAGCUUGCUUGUCUCAAGAUUUUCUAAAUCUAAGCACAACUCUUAGCAACGGAUAUCUUGGUUCUC